GGAAAUUAGCAUCGUUUAAAAAGCGAAGGGCUGGAUCAUCCCGAUUUGACAUCGGGAGGGUCAAGGGUUCGAAUCCCUUAUUCUCCA
rnacentral:tRNA from 1 species